rnacentral:rRNA from 1 species
UUCGAAGGCUCGAUUCGUUAAAGUCGUACAACUACGGCAAAGAUCGAGUCUGUAGAGUUUGAUGUGCAGGACAACGCUCAACAAAACCCGACUUAGCGACGGUGGGCCGCGCCUUAAAGCCGGCUAUAACAUCUACCACCCCCCGUUCUUCGUUCCGUUAAGUAAGGGGAGCGUCGUAUAAACCCGGGUGAUUACCGCGAGGUAGAUCACUAUAACACUUCUUUUCUUUCUAUCACCUCGUGUAAUAAGACGAGUCUCGGUUCGGUUUGUAGAGUCUACGACUUCUUUUCCUGUACGAACUAAUGAACAUAUGUAGAGUCAUAGUCUACUCUCCCUAUGAGUGACACAGUAAUCCGGCGUAUCUCCCGGGAUUGUCGCUCUCGAAGUGCGUACGACAGAAGUACGCAAAGGUUGUCUUUCUUCUGUAACGUUUCAAGGUCUCAUCGAGGAUGAUAAGGUUUCAAGAGCUGCUCGUGCAGUUUGGGCAAAGGAUACCGAACCAAAGACAUCUAAAACUCAGACUCCACCUUCUACUGUAAUAGGGAGAGAAAGCCUCCCCGCUCCUAAAGUUGAUGCCACAGCUCAAAUACAACAACUAUAGAAAGAACCUCUGACGUAGGUCUCUCAGACACCUCCUACGUAAUCGGGUAGAAGUUUUCGACUAGUAGGUGAUGUCAAGAAAGUAACAAGUCCGUUGCAGUCCAACGACAGACCUAGUAUACCUAUCAGACAUGUCAGUGCGAAGUCAAUAGGCAAAAGGUAGUUAACUGCUGAAGUUUAAUAAGUUCCUCUCGUGCCUUAUGUUCCUAUACACCUGUAGGUUUAAAGUAGGCCAAUGACUCUCUACAGACCUCGACGUAAAACAGCAGCUGGGCCAGCCGUUGGUCGACUACAUCUAAGACUCGGGAACACGAGACUUUGACUUGGACUUUACCUUGGAACGGUGUAGGCUUUCUCUCAAGAACACAAUCACACGACACAUAUAGUAAAGUAAAAAGAAGCCGAACCCACUAGAAGACGGGUACAGGUCUAACCCGAGGUGCUCCGUCACUGACUACUCGCUACAGAUAGAACUAGACGAACUUUUUAAGAUUAAGACGUGGAAGAUAGAACUAGAAGAACAAGUCGUGCCUACUUACUCAUGUUACAAUA